UAUAGAGAAUUAGUGUAUAGUAAAGAAUAGAGAAUUAAUAUAUACCGUCUGAUCCAGCAGAUCCGAUGGCUUCAAUUAAAUCAGCUUUUUAAUUUAAAAACACGUUUCAUUAAUUUCGUCCAAUUUUUUAUAGAGGCGAAGGGGUUAUUCGGAAUUUUACCACGAAGGUAAAUCUGGAAGAUUCUAUUUCUUCCAUCUUUCACGCUCAACUUAUCUUUGUUCUUGAGGAAUAGAUUAGGGCAUUCCGAACAAAAACAAUUGAUAUGCUACAAUAUUUUAUGCAGAUUGACGAGUAGACUUGAAGUUCAUCUUUGUUUCAGAAAAUUUUUCAGAUAAUUGACAUUGAUUUUGUCGAGGAACUAAAUACCCAAAGCUCAAAACCCGAAGCACACAUGCUGCAUUUUACAAGAAGUUGCGAGAUCUGAACGAGGCACAACGUGAAGCUGUUCGUUCCAUUGGAUUUGGGAGGAUCCUGGAUUUUACAAUCAAAGAUAUGCCUUAAAAGCUAGCUUACUAGAUUAUAGACAAAUAAAACUCUCAGAGUAUUCAUUUUUUUUAAAAGCAAAUUCAUCUUU